GAUUUUUUCCCAGGAGUCUCUGGGUGGAUGGUGGCUUUCUUCUUGACUUUAGCUCUCAGUAUUGGAGCCAUUCCUCUGCUGGUGAUCCAAUAGAGAAGAAUGGAUGCCAUGGAGAGACAGUUUGAGCCUAUGGCUGCUCAGCGCCUUCGUGAGGAACUUGGUAAGAACUGUUUUCAUAACUUUAUUUGUAGAAUUACUGUAAAUGUUUCUGUCUAUCUAUCUAUCUGUCUAUCUAUCUACUCAUGCUGUCUGUCUGUCGCUGUGUCUGUU